UACGGGGGGGGCAAGCGUUGUUCGGAAUUACUGGGCGUAAAGGGCUCGUAGGCGGCCAACUAAGUCAGACGUGAAAUCCCUCGGCUUAACCGGGGAACUGCGUCUGAUACUGGAUGGCUUGAGUUUGGGAGAGGGAUGCGGAAUUCCAGGUGUAGCGGUGAAAUGCGUAGAUAUCUGGAGGAACACCGGUGGCGAAGGCGGCAUCCUGGACCAACACUGACGCUGAGGAGCGAAAGCCAGGGGAGCAAACGGGA
rnacentral:rRNA from 1 species